UUUCACUGAAACAAGGGAAAACAUUAGCAGCAGUAAGGAGUUUUAUGUAAUAUACGAAAGUAAGACAUAGUUAGGACAUUUUUAUCUGUCAAAUUAAGUGCCAGCAGACGCGGUGAAACUUAAGGAUUUGUUUUUUAGAAAAAGCAGAAAGCGUGUAAAGGUAAAAAAAUAUUUAAAAUAAAUAGAAUUUUUUUAGUAAUAGUGAAAUAUUAUUAUAAGGAAAAGAAUUCUUUAUGUGAAAAUAAUUUAUUUUUUUUUUCUUAAGCACGAGGGUUUUGGGAGUAAACAGGAUUAGAGACCCUGGUAAUCAAUACAGUAAAAAAAAAUCGCUUGAGUAGUACGGUCGCAAGAUUAAAAUUCAAAAAAUUUGGCUGUUCAUUGUUAUUUAGAGGAGCGUGUCGUUUAAUUCGAUAAUCCGCGAAUUACCUUACCAAGACUUGGUUUUCCGGUGUUGCAUGGCCGUCGUCAAUUUGUGUUUGAUACAAUAAAUUAAACCCUAGAAAGGUUGAAGUCAGGUAUUAUUGCCCUUAUGUUUUGGGAUUAGAUGCGCUACAUUUUUUUAAUAAAAAAAAAAGAGUUCGGAUUGUUUUUUAAAUAGAGCAAUUAAGUUGAAUUUAAUAGUAAUUUAAAAGUAGAGCGUUUCAAUGAAUUUAAAACAAUGUUAGUACAAAUUGCCCGUCGCCUUUGCUGAGGUAAACAAAGCAGAGUAAGUCGUAACA
rnacentral:rRNA from 1 species